rnacentral:sRNA from 1 species
UUGUGCCGGUUAGAUAGGGAUACUCAUCAAAUAACAUCGAAAACCGAAGCUGUAUCUCCUACCAAUGGCGGGCCACAUAAACGACUGUCGUCGCUAAGCUAUAAGCCGGUGGAUUACAAAGGAGGAGGACACUCAAAUCUUAUAGAUUCGGAGUUUUCAUCACAUCAUUGGCACGACUC